UACGUAGGGCGCGAGCGUUGUCCGGAAUUAUCGGGCGUAAAGAGCUCGUAGGCGGCCUGUCGCGUCGGUUGUGAAAGCCCGGGGCUCAACCCCGGGUCUGCAGUCGAUACGGGCAGGCUAGAGUUCGGUAGGGGAGAUCGGAAUUCCUGGUGUAGCGGUGAAAUGCGCAGAUAUCAGGAGGAACACCGGUGGCGAAGGCGGAUCUCUGGGCCGAUACUGACACUGAGGCGCGAAAGCGUGGGGAGCGAACAGG
rnacentral:rRNA from 1 species